UGAUCAAACUCAAGUCAAGAAACUCUAAGUACAGAUGAUUUGUUUAAAGUUAUAUGUAUUUUACUGUUGUAUUUACUUGAAGCUUUCUUAGAUUUUGAAACGAAGUAAACACGUAAUGUGUGUUGCUAAUGUUGGGCCAUGUAAUAUGUAAUACAUUUACGUUUUAAUGAAUAGUCUAACGAUUUAUAGUCGUUGUACUCUAUUGUUAUAAUAUGUCUUUUUGACUGAAUACAUGUUUGUUUUAUUUGUCUAUAUCCUAGAUUCGCAGCUGGACACAUCCUUCUACACUGUAUGCAAACAUGCAACAUCAUUACACACAGUACAAGGAGUCAGACUGGCAUAUGAGGAGCAAAGGAACCCAGGCAGUAGCAUCGUUUCACAAUGUUUCCAUCACCAUCAUCAGUGGAUGCCUUUGCCGUCCGUAGCCUGAGAUUUCAGAUUUGCAGCAAAAAAUGUGACUUUCCCAUUUAUUGGAAUGCUGUGCAGGUUGUACCUUGCAGCCAUCCAUUACAAUGUCACCAAGCCGUAACAAAAGCAGGAGAGGGAAAGUACAAGGCUAUGUUCCCAAAACACACAAAUGACAUACCUUAUGUGGAGGAUGUGAACAGGCUUGUGUUUGAUGAGGUAUUUGAAGAUAAGCUGAAGGAAACCCCGAUUCCAAUGGACCUGGCAUCACAGUUUGAGAGACCUUCAAAGGAGGACGUGAUUGCAUGCCAUCUUCAGUGCAGGGGUCGUCGGAAGCCAACAUUCCGAUCAGGAAGCUCCAAGCAUAUCUGGAGAACAACACACGACAGGAUGAUAACCCUAAAGUGUCAUCUUAGAUAGCAUCAGCUGACAAAGCUUUGAUAUGCCAUUUAUCUGAAUAGAUAGCUGUAAGAAGUGAAUUGAACAAUUUUUGAAAGAGCACAAUAUGGUUACUAAAGUAUGUUUAUUUGUAUAUUGUUUAACAUUUAAAUAUAUAUUUGUAAUAAAUAAACUUUUGACUGACUACUAUAUUUUCUUUAAAGUUACAUCUUUUGUUCUUUUGGGUACUUUGUUACUAUAAUGAUACUUUAGUGUUAUUGGUUUAAAAAUGUAAUAAAACUUACUCUA